GACGAACGCUGUCGGCGUGCCUAAUACAUGCAAGUCGAACGCAGUGGGGACGGGUGAGUAACACGUGGGUAACCUCCCAUCAGAGGGGAUAACACUUGGAAACCGGUGCUCAACCGCUAAUGAUGGUUGGACCCGCGGUGCAUUAGCUAGUUGGUGCGGUAACGGCUCACCAAGGCGACGAUGCAUAGCGGACCUGAGAGGGGGAUGGGCCACACUGGGACGGAGACACGGGCCAGACUCCGACGGGAGGCGGCAGUGGGGAAUCUUCGACAAUGGACGAAAGUCUGACCGAGCAACGAGGCGUGGUUGAAGAAGGUUUGCGGAGCGUAAAACUCUGUUGGUAGAGAAGCGGUAUCUAACCAUAAAGCCACGGCUAACUACGUGCCAGCAGCCGCGGUAAUAC
rnacentral:rRNA from 1 species